GGGAUAGCUCAGUUGGAAGAGCAUGAGACUCUUAAUCUCAGGGUUGAGUUUUUGAGCCCCACAUUGGGUUA
rnacentral:tRNA from 1 species